rnacentral:rRNA from 1 species
CUCCUCCUAAAAGGUAACGGAGGAGUCCAAAGGCAUCCUCAGUGCGGUCGGUAAUCGCACGUAGAGUGUAAAGGUAUAAGGAUGCUUGACUGUGAGACAUACAAGUCGAACAGGUGUGAAAGCAGGGCUUAGUGAUCCGGCGGUCCCGUGUGGAAGGGCCGUCGCUCAACGGAUAAAAGGUACUCCGGGGAUAACAGGCUGAUCUCCCCCAAGAGUUCGUAUCGACGGGGAGGUUUGGCACCUCGAUGUCGGCUCAUCGCAUCCUGGGGCUGGAGAAGGUCCCAAGGGUUAGGCUGUUCGCCUAUUAAAGCGGUACGCGAGCUGGGUUUAGACCGUCGUGAGACAGGUCGGUCCCUAUCUGUCGUGGGUGUACGAGAUUUGAGGAGAUAUUCCCCUAGUACGAGAGGAUUGGGGAGUACGGACCUCUGGUGUUCCUGUUGUCGUGUCAACGGCAUCGCAGGGUAGCUACGUCCGGGAAGGAUAAGCGCUGAAGGCAUAUAAGCGCGAAGCCCCCUUCAAAACUAGAUCUCGCAUGAGACUCCUGGAAGACCACCAGGUUGAUAGGCCGGGUGUGUAAGCAUGGCAACAUGUUCAGCUGACCGGUACUAAUACGUCGAUCGGCUUGACCGCUAUUUCUCAUUU